GCAAGUCGAGCGGACAGAUGGGAGCUUGCUCCCUGAUGUUAGCGGCGGACGGGUGAGUAACACGUGGGUAACCUGCCUGUAAGACUGGGAUAACUCCGGGAAACCGGGGCUAAUACCGGAUGCUUGUUUGAACCGCAUGGUUCAAACAUAAAAGGUGGCUUCGGCUACCACUUACAGAUGGACCCGCGGCGCAUUAGCUAGUUGGUGAGGUAAUGGCUCACCAAGGCAACGAUGCGUAGCCGACCUGAGAGGGUGAUCGGCCACACUGGGACUGAGACACGGCCCAGACUCCUACGGGAGGCAGCAGUAGGGAAUCUUCCGCAAUGGACGAAAGUCUGACGGAGCAACGCCGCGUGAGUGAUGAAGGUUUUCGGAUCGUAAAGCUCUGUUGUUAGGGAAGAACAAGUACCGUUCGAAUAGGGCGGUACCUUGACGGUACCUAACCAGAAAGCCACGGCUAACUACGUGCCAGCAGCCGCGGUAAUACGUAGGUGGCAAGCGUUGUCCGGAAUUAUUGGGCGUAAAGGGCUCGCAGGCGGUUUCUUAAGUCUGAUGUGAAAGCCCCCGGCUCAACCGGGGAGGGUCAUUGGAAACUGGGGAACUUGAGUGCAGAAGAGGAGAGUGGAAUUCCACGUGUAGCGGUGAAAUGCGUAGAGAUGUGGAGGAACACCAGUGGCGAAGGCGACUCUCUGGUCUGUAACUGACGCUGAGGAGCGAAAGCGUG
rnacentral:rRNA from 2 species